CCCUGAUGUUAGCGGCGGACGGGUGAGUAACACGUGGGUAACCUGCCUGUAAGACUGGGAUAACUCCGGGAAACCGGGGCUAAUACCGGAUGGUUGUYUGAACCGCAUGGUUCAGACAUAAAAGGUGGCUUCGGCUACCACUUACAGAUGGACCCGCGGCGCAUUAGCUAGUUGGUGAGGUAACGGCUCACCAAGGCRACGAUGCGUAGCCGACCUGAGAGGGUGAUCGGCCACACUGGGACUGAGACACGGCCCAGACUCCUACGGGAGGCAGCAGUAGGGAAUCUUCCGCAAUGGACGAAAGUCUGACGGAGCAACGCCGCGUGAGUGAUGAAGGUUUUCGGAUCGUAAAGCUCUGUUGUUAGGGAAGAACAAGUGCCGUUCAAAUAGGGCGGCACCUUGACGGUACCUAACCAGAAAGCCACGGCUAACUACGUGCCAGCAGCCGCGGUAAUACGUAGGUGGCAAGCGUUGUCCGGAAUUAUUGGGCGUAAAGGGCUCGCAGGCGGUUUCUUAAGUCUGAUGUGAAAGCCCCCGGCUCAACCGGGGAGGGUCAUUGGAAACUGGGGAACUUGAGUGCAGAAGAGGAGAGUGGAAUUCCACGUGUAGCG
rnacentral:rRNA from 1 species